rnacentral:lncRNA from 7 species
ACCCAUGUCGCCGUGAGCCUUUCGUCGGGACCGAGAUUGGGGGAAAUCUACCUGUGCGUAAAAUUGGGGGCGUAGUUGGUUUUGGGGCUUCGCCUGGUCGCCGUGAACCUGUGCGGGGCUUCGGCGGGCGGAACUAGGGUCGCGGGAACCUUUGAUUGGUCGCCAACGUCCGAUUCUCGCCUCUGGGCCGUACCGCGCUGGGGCCGGGGUGACUGCGCUCUUAAUCCUCGGUAAGGACGCUCAUACUAGCUUCGUAUUACCUCCAAUUUGGUUUUGCACCAUACGGGGGCUAGCUUCACGCUCGGGAAUGGGUUCUGGUGGGGCGCGACAAUGGCGCCGCCGUGGGGUGAUGUGCGCCGUCGUCGCCGGCGUCUUCUCCGGGGGGGAUCGCUGGGGAGCAUUGAUCUUACCGUCGACGGCAUGGAUUAGAGCUGUCAUACCGGUUCGCACGUAUAGAUCGGGGUCGUUGAUCUUAGAUCAGUCGGUCAUGGGUUGGUCUGAGUGUUUUAAAUUGGCGUCGUAGAUCUCCAAUCGGUUGGCCAAAAUCUCGCGUCGGUUCGUAAGAAGCUAGACCUAAUCUGAACCGUAGGCGCUAGAUCAAACGGCCGGUAGAGAGUGCGGGAUCAUUUAGAGGAACGAUCUAAUCUGGGCGCUGGAAGGAUGAUCCGAUGGUCCAGAUCACACCAUACCCCUUUCGCCGAAUCCUUUUUACAUGGGAGUCCCUGUGCUUCCUAUUUAAUAACCCGCCGUCCAUCCUUAUUCAAAGAACCUUACAACCAUGCCCAAGAUCUUAUAAAAGUGACCCUGUAAUCCUCAGUAUUUAGCACAGUAACCCGCUGGGUAUUAAAAUUUU